CUUAAUGGCUUAAAAGCCAUAAAGAAAACAAAACAAAGCAAAGGCAGAAGACAAGCGGCGGAGAACACUAAAGGCUUACUCCAUUUUCUCCCUUUUCUCUUCUCUUUAGCUCACUUUCUCUGUUCAUUUUCUCCAUUUUUUCUUCAACUUCACCAAACUUUAAAAUCUCUGUUUCUACCAUACUUUUCUGUGGGACAAAACAUGGCCGAAUCUCCAUGGUUGCAUCAGCCACCGAGUCCCACACCACCACCACCGGCUGUGCUUGCCCAUGUCACCUCCUAUCUUAAGGCUUUCUCAUCUCUCUCUCUAGCCCAAAUGUGGCUGAUUUAUAUUUGAUUGGAUUUUAAUGUUGUUUUUGAAAUGCACAGAUGAUGUUUGUGAAAAUACCUGUUAAAAACUUUAGUUCCAAUGCUUUGUGCUUUACGGCUUUGCCUUGAGCUAAUGUGUUAUUUUAGAUGGUGGUAGUUGUUUUGCUAAUUUUCUGCCAGUUGGUGUGUAACUAAGCUAUAUUCAUAUUUUGCCAUUCAUCUUGUGGUCCAUUUGGUUAAGUCGUAAUUCCCUCGUGUUUAGCAAUAAAUAUAUUACUCUGUCCCAACUCCGCAAAACAGGGAUACACCAUGCCACUGAAUUCUUCUAUUUAAGCAUGCAUCCUAAACUUCAAUACCGAACCACCAUUACUACACUUGUUGGAUGGAAACCAACUCCUUUCCCCUUCCUUACUCUUAAUACUGACGGUAGCGCAAAAGGCAAUACGGGCCAUGCUGGAGCAAGCGGAAUUAUAAGAGAUCACUGGGGGAAUUGGAUAGGAGGAUUCUCUAUUAACAUAGGUAUCACCCAUAGUAUGAUGGCAGAGCUGUGGGCUAUUCGAGAAGGUUUAAAAUUUGCUUGGAGUAAUGGAUACAAAUAUAUCAACCUUCAGGUCUCUCCUGGAGCGACCUUGGGUGGUCAAAACUGAUCACAUUUGGAGGGAAGCUAAUGGGUGUUCUGACCUGUUGGCAAAGAAAGGAGCAGAGCAAUCGGAGCGUGAAAUUUUCUAUGACACUUGUCCUGCGUUUUUGACGCAAUGCUAUUUUUGGGACUCACUGGGAUUCACCUCGCCUCGCUCAGUGGGUUGUAUAUACCAAGGAAGCUGAAAUCUGGCUAUCGAAAGUCCCUGUGUGUGUGUGUUAGGUCCUUCUCUGUUGCAGUGUUUGUCUUGUUUCAGUGAUGUGUCUGUGGUAGUGUAUGUUAAGUCUUGUUAUGUAUUAUAUAGUUUGAAGUGUC